GACUACCCGGGCCUCAAGGACGAACGCUGGCGGCGUGCCUAAUACAUGAAAGUCGAACGAACUCUGGUAUUGAUUGGUGCUUGCAUCAUGAUUGACAUGUGAGUGAGUGGCGAACUCGUGAGUAACACGUGGGAAACCUGCCCAGAAGCGGGGGAUAACACCUGGAAACAGAUGCUAAUACCGCAUAACAACUUGGACCGCAUGGUCCGAGCGUGAAAGAUGGCUUCGGCUAUCAGUGUUGGAUGGUCCCGCGGCGUAUUAGCUAGAUGGUGGGGUAACGGCUCACCAUGGCAAUGAUACGUAGCCGACCUGAGAGCGUAAUCGGCCAGAUUGGGACUGAGACACGGCCCAAACUCCUACGGAGGGCAGCAGUACGGAAUCUUCGACAAUGGACGAAAGUCUGAUGGAUCACGG
rnacentral:rRNA from 2 species